rnacentral:rRNA from 1 species
AUACGUAGGGUGCAAGCGUUAAUCGGAAUUACUGGGCGUAAAGCGUGCGCAGGCGGUUUUGUAAGACAGUGGUGAAAUCCCCGGGCUCAACCUGGGAACUGCCAUUGUGACUGCAAGGCUGGAGUGCGGCAGAGGGGGAUGGAAUUCCGCGUGUAGCAGUGAAAUGCGUAGAUAUGCGGAGGAACACCGAUGGCGAAGGCAAUCCCCUGGGCCUGCACUGACGCUCAUGCACGAAAGCGUGGGGAGCAAACAGGAUUAGAUACCCUGGUAGUCCACGCCCUAAACGAUGUCAACUGGUUGUUGGGGAUUUAUUUUCUCAGUAACAAAGCUAACGCGUGAAGUUGACCGCCUGGGGAGUACGGCCGCAAGGUUAAAACUCAAAUGAAUUGACGGGG